rnacentral:tRNA from 1 species
GCGCAUUUAGUGUAGUGGUAUCAUAGUACCCUCCCAAGGUAUUGACCGGGGUUUAACUCCCCGAAUUCGCA